rnacentral:rRNA from 1 species
UACAGAGACUGCAAGCGUUAUUCGGAUUCACUGGGCGUAAAGGGUGCGCAGGCGGCCGGGUGUGUCAGAUGUGAAAUCCCGAGGCUUAACCUCGGAACUGCGUCUGAAACUACUCGGCUAGAGUAUUGGAGAGGGUAACGGAAUUCACGGUGUAGCAGUGAAAUGCGUAGAUAUCGUGAGGAACACCAGAGGCGAAGGCGGCAUCCUGGACCAACACUGACGCUGAGGAGCGAAAGCCAGGGGAGCAAACGGG